GACGAACGCUGGCGGCAUGCCUAAUACAUGCAAGUCGAGCGAACAGAUGAAGUGCUUGCACUUCUGACGUUAGCGGCGAACGGGUGAGUAACACGUAAGGAAUCUACCUAUAAGCGGGGGAUAACAUUCGGAAACGGGUGCUAAUACCGCAUAAUAUCUUCUUCCGCAUGGAAGAAGAUUGAAAGACGGCUCUGCUGUCACUUAUAGAUGACCUUGCGGUGCAUUAGUUAGUUGGUGGGGUAACGGCCUACCAAGACGAUGUUGCAUAGCCGACCUGAGAGGGUGAUCGGCCACAUUGGGACUGAGACACGGCCCAAACUCCUACGGGAGGCAGCAGUAGGGAAUCUUCCACAAUGGGCGAAAGCCUGACGGAGCAAUGCCGCGUGAGUGAAGAAGGCCUUCGGGUCGUAAAACUCUGUUAUAAGAGAAGAACAAAUUGUAGAGUAACUGCUACAGUCUUGACGGUAUCUUAUCAGAAAGCCACGGCUAACCACGUGCCAGCCGCCGCAGUAA
rnacentral:rRNA from 1 species